rnacentral:rRNA from 1 species
GAUGAACGCUAGCGGCAGGCUUAACACAUGCAAGUCGAGGGGCAGCAUAAAUAGUAGCAAUACUAUUGGUGGCGACCGGCGGACGGGUGCGUAACGCGUAUACAACCUUCCCUAAACAGGGGGAUAAUCUGGAGAAAUUCGGUCUAAUACCCCAUAACAUCAGAGCAGGCAUCUGUUUUGGUUAAAAUUUCCGGAGGUUUAGGAUGGGUAUGCGUAGCAUUAGCUAGUUGGUGAGGUAACGGCUCACCAAGGCGACGAUGCUUAGGGGGACUGAGAGGUUAACCCCCCACACUGGUACUGAGACACGGACCAGGCUCCUACGGGAGGCAGCAGUGAGGAAUAUUGGUCAAUGGGCGGAAGCCUGAACCAGCCAUGCCGCGUGCAGGAUGACGGCUCUAUGAGUUGUAAACUGCUUUUGUACGUGGGUAAAGUGGGCUACGUGUAGCCUUUUGAAAGUAUCAUACGAAUAAGGAUCGGCUAACUCCGUGCCAGCCGCCGCCGUAA